AUUGAACGCUAGCGGGAUGCUUUACACAUGCAAGUCGAACGAGUGGCGGACGGGUGAGUAAUAUAUCGGAAUGUGCCCAGUAGCGGGGUAUCACUUCUCGAAAGCGUCGCUAAUAACGCAUACUAUUGGAGCGGCCGAUAUCGGAUUAGCUAUUUGGUGGGGUAAAGGCUCACCAAGGAAACGAUCCGUAGCUGGUUUGAGAGGACGACCAGCCACACUGGGACUGAGACACGGCCCAGACUCCUACGGGAGGCAGCAGUUGGGAAUGUUGGAGUAUGGGGUAAAACCUGAUGCAGCCAUCCCGCGUGUAUGAGAAGGCCUUCGAGUUGUAAAGUACUUUGGGCAGAGAAGCGGUAUCUGCAGAAUAAGCACCGGCUAACUACGUGCCAGCAGCCGCGGUAAUAC
rnacentral:rRNA from 1 species